AUGGGGUACUUAUCCUAUCCACAUGGGGUACUUAUCCUAUCCACAUGGGGUACUUAUCCUAUCCACAUGGGGUACUUAUCCUAUCCACAUGGGGUACUUAUCCUAUCCACAUGGGGUACUUAUCCUAUCCACAUGGGGUACUUAUCCUAUCUACAUGGGGUACUUAUCCUAUCCACAGGGGUACUUAUCAUAUCCACAGGGGGUACUUUUCCUGUCCACAGGGGUACGUAUCCUAUCCACAGGGGAACGUAUCCUAUCCACAGGGGUACUUAUUAUAUUCACAGGGGGAACUUAUCCUAUCCACAUGGGGUACUUAUCCUAUCCACAGGGGUAUGUAUCCUAUCCACAGGGGUACUUAUCCUAUCCACAGGGGUUACUUAUCCUAUCCACAGUGGUACUUAUCCUAUCCACAGGGGUACUUAUCCUAUCCACAGGGGUACUUAUCCUAUCCACAGGGGGACCAUGGCCUAUCCACAGAGGGUACUUAUCCUAUCCACAGGGGGUACUUAUCCUAUCCACAGGGGUACGUAUCCUAUCCACAGGGGAUACUUAUCCUAUUCACAGGUUGUACUUAUCCUAUCCACAGGGGGUACUUAUCCUAUCCACAGGGGUACGUAUCCUAUCCACAUGGGGUACUUAUCCUAUCCACAUGGGGUACUUAUCCUAUCCACAUGGGGUACUUAUCCUAUCCAUAUGGGGUACUUAUCCUAUCCACAGGGGGAACUUAUGCUAUCCACAGGGGGUUCUUGGGGAGACUCAUCAGAACGUUGGCCUACUGGUCAAAUGAGGGGGUACUUCUGGGCAGGCUCAUCAGAACGUAGGCCUACUGGUCAAAUGAGGGGGUACUUCUGGGGAGUCUCAUCAGAACGUAGGCCUACUGGUCAAAUGAGGGGGUACUUCUGGGGAGUCUCAUCAGAACGUAGACCUACUGGUCAAAUGAGGGGGCACUUCUGGGGAGUCAAAUCAGAACGUAGGCUUACUGGUCAAUUGAGGGGAUACUUCUGGGGAGUCUCAUCAGAACGUAGGCCUACUGGUCAAAUGAGGGGGUACUUCUGGGGAGACUCAUCAGAACGUAGGCCUACUGGUCAAAUGAGGGGGUACUUCUGGGGAGACUCAUCAGAACGUAGGCCUACUGGUCAAAUGAGGGGGUACUUCUGGGGAGUCUCAUCAGAACGUAGGCCUACUGGUCAAAUGAGGGGGUACUUCUGGGGAGUAUCAUCAGAACGUAGGCCUACUGGUCAAAUGAGGGGGUACUUCUGGGGAGACUCAUCAGAACGUAGGCCUACUGGUCAAAUGAGGGGGUUCUCCUGGGGCACAGUAAACAAAAAGGUAGCUAACCGCUAA
rnacentral:lncRNA from 1 species